rnacentral:rRNA from 1 species
UACGUAGGGGGCAAGCGUUGUCCGGAUUUAUUGGGCGUAAAGAGCGUGUAGGCGGCUGGGUAGGUCCGUUGUGAAAACUCGAGGCUCAACCUCGAGACGCCGAUGGAAACCCUCCAGCUAGAGUCCGGAAGAGGAGAGUGGAAUUCCCGGUGUAGCGGUGAAAUGCGCAGAUAUCGGGAAGAACACCCGUGGCGAAGGCGGCUCUCUGGGACGGUACUGGACGCUGAGACGCGAAAGCGUGGGGAGCGAACAGG